UCCAAAAUAAAACAGAUUCUAUUGAGUUUAUGCAAAUAGCUAUAUUGCAAUAAAUUAAGAAUAAUCACGGCCAGGUGUGGUGGCUCACGCCUAUUAUCCCAGUACUUUGGGAGGCCGAGGCAGGCAAGGAUCAUAAGUUACUGUAAAAUAAUAGUGAUUCAUUUAACCAAGGUGAUAAUUCAAAGUUUUUUUUUCUUUUUUUUUUUGAGACAGUGUCUCACUCUGUUGCCCAGGCUGGGAUGCAGUGGCACAAUCUCGGCUUACUGCAACCUUCGCCUACCAGGUUCAAGCGAGUCUCCCACCUCAGCCUCCUGAAUAGCUGGGAUUACAUGAGAUAAAUCCCACAUAAAUCCUGCCUUUUGGCCUUCACAAACUUGGCAAAGGAAACUUGCUGACCCCUCCAAGCCUUUUCACAUCAAGUCCAUUUGCCUAGGAAGCUCUCU
rnacentral:lncRNA from 1 species